GCUACUUCGAACUUGAGAAACUCUCUCAUUAGUACACCAUCCACUAUUGGGUUCUCGACUUCUGCCAAUAUUCUCAUCAUAUUGCCUAUCGCUCUAGUUGUUUUCACUCUCAUAUAAUCAACUGGAACUCCAUGUACUUGAAUCCAAAAUUCCAUGUAUUCAUGACUUACCUCAUAGAUUGAAACAUCUUGAGACUAAUACUGCAGGUUUAUUAGACUAUCCCUGAUAUUCCACGAGCCGUUGUGGAGAAUCUUUAAUCUAUAGUUAAUGUUUUUAAAGCUAAUGAGUAUUUUAUUUCUCCCUACUUCUGUGAUAGCCACUCCAGUCAGAUUGUCCCAGAGACUGAGUAAGUGAUCUGCUCCUUGGAACAAUGCUUGGCUGCUAUGAUGGUGACACGAUAGUGUUAUGUGGUUAUUGCUGCUGUGUUUUGGUGGUCUAACAAGAAGCAAUGCUGGCGACGAAUGUUACUUAGUGAGGGUGAUGAUGGGUGGAAAAUCUAUGGGUGAAAAACUCUCGGUGAAGGGCUUUAAGUAAAGGGUUAUUGCUAUUCUUCCUCUAUCCUGGUAUAAUAUAUGGUCUAAGUGAUAGAAUGGUAGAAUGGUUCAAGAUUUGGUUAUGUUUGUGUUGGGAUUGUGCUUAAUUUGCUUGUUUGGAGUUGGUGAUAUAUGUGUUUAAGGAAUGGUCAAUGCUAUUUGGUCAGGACCUGCGUUCUAGGUUGACUUUCCAGACGAGAGGAAAAUCUCUCCCAAUGAGAAUUGCAUUACCAGCUUGUAUCCCUUUGUAUACCAUGCGAAUUUCUUCUGGGCCUUUAGUCUUAUUAUUUAUAAAAAAGAAAAUAUUUGAAGUAUAGAACUCCUCGUAAAAAUAAAGAUAAAAUAAAUAGUAUAAAAAUUAUAUACAAUUAUUUGUUUCUUUUUCCUUUAUAUAAAGGUGUAAAGUUAAUGGUCCA